rnacentral:misc_RNA from 1 species
AACGCACAUUGCACCCGGUGGUAUUCCGCCGGGUAUGCCUGUCUGAGCGUCAUUUCUACCCUCGAGCACUGCUCGGUAUUGGCGGAUUGCCUAGCAACCGCUGAAAAUCAACGGCGGUGACCCCUAUGUCCCUGUAUAGUACUAUUCUUACAGUGGUUAUAGCGGUCUACCAGUCUCCUGUGCGCCGUAACAAGCGCUACACUUUGAAACUCGACCUCAGAUCAGGUAGGAAUACCCGCUGAACUUAA